UUUUGUGCUGGCUUCUGUUUUACUGUUGUGUAUGGAGCACUUCUUACCAAGACGAAUCGCAUAUCACGAAUAUUCAAACACGGGAAACAAUCAGCCAAACGACCAUCUUUCAUUAGUCCUCGAUCACAGCUAGUCAUUUGUACUGGGUUAACGUCAAUCCAGGUUAUAAUUAAUGUCAUCUGGAUGAUAAUUUCACCUGCACGUGCCAUGUAUCACUAUCCAACCCGUGAAGAUAAUUUACUUGUAUGCGACUCUUAUGUGGAUGCAUCGUAUAUGAUUGCAUUUUCAUAUCCGAUAUUUUUAAUAGUAAUUUGUACAGUUCAUGCAGUUUUGACACGAAAAAUACCGGAAGCUUUUAAUGAAUCUAAGCAUAUAGGUUUCACCAUGUAUACUACUUGUGUUAUUUGGUUGGCUUUUGUCCCCUUGUAUUUUGUUACCGCAAAUCAUGUACCACUUCGAUUAACAUCGAUGUCAAUGGCAAUUAGUUUGUCCGCCAGUGUUACGGUGGCGUGCCUAUUUUCGCCCAAGGUAAGU